rnacentral:ribozyme from 12 species
UCAUGUUUUCUCUCCUACUUUCUGAUGCGUUCUUUUUUUUUUUUCUUUUUCUAUUUC